rnacentral:rRNA from 1 species
UGGGGAAUAUUGGACAAUGGGCGAAAGCCUGAUCCAGCAAUGCCGCGUGAGUGAUGAAGGCCUUAGGGUUGUAAAGCUCUUUUACCAGGGAUGAUAAUGACAGUACCUGGAGAAUAAGCCCCGGCUAACUCCGUGCCAGCAGCCGCGGUAAUACGGAGGGUGCGAGCGUUGUUCGGAAUCACUGGGCUUAAAGCGCGUGUAGGCGGCAAGUUAAGUGUUGGGUGAAAGCCCUCGGCUCAACCGAGGAACGGCCUGGCAAACUGGCUUGCUUGAGGUACGUAGAGGUGACUGGAACGACGGGUGGAGCGGUGAAAUGCGUAGAUAUCCGUUGGAACGCCGGAGGCGAAAGCGGGUCACUGGGCGUAUCCUGACGCUGAGACGCGAAAGCGUGGGUAGCAAACAGGAUUAGAUACCCAGGUAGUCCCUGAGCGGGCUGGCAAGGCGCAU